rnacentral:rRNA from 1 species
AGAGUUUGAUCCUGGCUCAGGAUGAACGCUAGCGGCAGGCUUAAUACAUGCAAGUCGUGGGGCAGCAGCUCUGUAGCAAUACAGAGGCUGGCGACCGGCAAACGGGUGCGGAACACGUACGCAAUCUACCCAAAACUGGUGAAUAGCCCUCCGAAAGGAGGAUUAAUACACCGUAACCUAUAGAAGUGGCAUCACUUUAUUAGUAUAGCUCCGGCGGUUUUGGAUGAGCGUGCGGCUGAUUAGAUAGUUGGCGGGGUAACGGCCCACCAAGUCUGCGAUCAGUAACUGGUGUGAGAGCACGACCAGUCACACGGGCACUGAGACACGGGCCCGACUCCUACGGGAGGCAGCAGUAAGGAAUAUUGGUCAAUGGACGCAAGUCUGAACCAGCCAUGCCGCGUGAAGGAUGAAGGUCCUCUGGAUUGUAAACUUCUUUUAUAGGGGACGAAACCUCUUUUUCUAAAGAGACUGACGGUACCCUAGGAAUAAGCACCGGCUAACUCCGUGCCAGCAGCCGCGGUAAUACGGAGGGUGCAAGCGUUAUCCGGAUUCACUGGGUUUAAAGGGUGCGUAGGAGGGCAGGUAAGUCAGUGGUGAAAUCUCCAAGCUUAACUUGGAAACUGCCGUUGAUACUAUCUGUCUUGAAUACCGUGGAGGUGAGCGGAAUAUGUCAUGUAGCGGUGAAAUGCUUAGAUAUGACAUGGAACACCAAUUGCGAAGGCAGCUCACUACACGAAUAUUGACUCUGAGGCACGAAAGCGUGGGGAUCAAACAGGAUUAGAUACCCUGGUAGUCG